GCCGCGCUCCGCACUCUCCGAGCCUGCGACCAGUUCAAGGAAAGUGACUCAGAGGCGACAGCAGUGCACAAGUAACACACAUAUGAUCCUCUCCUUGAAGUGUGACAAAGGACAUUUUCAAGUUCUAAUAUUUGUGAACCCUGCUCCUGGGCUCCCAGGGAAGAUACACUUUUAUCAAGAUGACACUUCAAAGCACAAAAGUCCUUUCUGUCCUGAGCACAUGUUGUACAUCUGUUUCAUUAGCACAUAACCUAAAAGAAAUAUUUCAGACUCAAGAUAGGAGUAAAAAUCCCCUGGAGUUCUCUUCCCAUACUCCCAAACCUGCAAACUUGCACAUACUAAAAACACAAGAUAAAGUCUGUAAUUUUCUGAAAUGUCCUUCCUGUGAUGACUUGUAACUCUUGAUGUAAUAAAAGCAUAUAUGAUCCUGUAUUAAACAGUCCUUCUCCAGAGCACUCCCUUCUUUAUGAAGAUUGUAUAUCCUGGGCUGCUGUGCUCACUUGGGCUUGAAUAAAACUCUUGUCUUUUUUUGUAGAAAUUGUAAAAGAUUUGUUCAUUUUGCAUUGAAAAUUAUUGGCUCAGUUGUCAGGCUAUCAGAGCAACUUGCCUGAAAAUGCUCAGAGCUCACCUAGAACUUGGUACCAGCAUGGACUCCUCAUGACCCUCUGAUUUCUCAGCAUUUCACAGAUGUAUCAGGUGAGUUCUCCUGAUAACUGGACCUCCUCAAUUUGAGUUGAUGGUCGUGACUUUUUGUGAGCUGUUAAAGGUUACUGGUAAUGUUCUCCAGGUGGGAAUAACCUAGAGCAGGGGAGUGAAUGGGUUGGUUAUUUUAAUUGGGCAUUAUUCUAAUUGAUGUUAUUGAUAUAAGGCUUGAAUAAAUUUUCUGGUUAGAAACUGGAACAACUGAGUCACUCAACUCCAAAGAGAAGGAGCUCUUGCUCCUUCUGUCCAUAUGGUGCUUUGCAGUGACUUAAAGUCUAGCAGAAGUGUCAAAGGAUAUACCAGUCCCAUAGGAACUUCCCAUCUCAUAAGGUAAUUAAUGAUUAACUCCUCAGGGAACACACACAUAGGGGUUGAUCAUCCAGUGCUCUGAGUGCCCCCAAUGGUCAUAGACCCCACUUAAGAGAGCAUACCUAGUAAUUAGAAGUGACAAUCACAAGCAGCAUUCUCUUGACCCACCACACCUAAUAACCUUAGAUCUUGUUCAAGCCUUAUUC